UUAAAGGAAUUGACGGAAGGGCACCACCAGGAGUGGAGCCUGCGGCUUAAUUUGACUCAACACGGGUAACCUCAUCAGGUCCGGACAUGAUUGCGAUGGACAGAUCGAUAGCUCUUUCUAGAUCUCAUGGAUGGUGGUGCAUGAUCGUUCUUAGUUCGUGGAUCGAUUUGUCUGGUUAAUUCCGAUAACGAGCGAGACUCUACCUUACUAACUAAGACGUACGAUAUACACGAGGUCUGUUGGCGUAUGCGUUGUUGCCCUAGGGGUGCAGUUCUCUGUGCUCUUGGUGGUUUUCGACGUUAUACGGCACGGUCCAUACUAUCGGCGCAAAUGUUUUCUUCUUAGAAGAACAAGCUAUAUAUAGUAGCACGAGAGAGAGCAAUAACAGGUCUGUGAUGCCCUUAGAUGUCCUGGGCCGCACGCGUGCGACAAUGAAAGAGUCAAUAGGUGUCCUAGGCCGAAAUGUCUGGGUAAUCCUUGCAAUCUCUUUCGUGUUGGGGAUUGGGGCUUGAAAGUGCUUCCCAUGAACGAGGAAUUCCCAGUAAGCGUAGAUGAUCAUUCUACGCUGAUUGAGUCCCUGCCCUUUGUGCACACCGCCCGUCGCUACUACCGAUGAGCGGGCUAGCGAGAUCUUCGGACCGGCGCCUCGAAAGAGGUCGUUACCGGAAAGUCGAUCAAACUUGCCCGUUUAGAGGAAGUAAAA
rnacentral:rRNA from 1 species